rnacentral:rRNA from 1 species
UACGUAGGCGGAAUGCCAGGUAUCUUGUGAAAUCCCUCGGCUCAACCGAGGAAUUGCAGGGUAAACUGGCAUUCUUGAGGCAGGUAGAGGUAACUGGAACUCAUGGUGGAGCGGUGGAAUGCGUAGAUAUCAUGGGGAACGCCAAAGGUGAAGACAAGUUACUGGGCCUGUCCUGACGCUGAGGUACGAAAGCGUGGGUAGCAAACAGGAUUAGAUACCCUGGUAGUCC